rnacentral:rRNA from 1 species
GUGGGGAAUAUUGGACAAUGGGCGCAAGCCUGAUCCAGCCACGCCGCGUGAGUGAUGAAGGCCUUCGGGUCGUAAAGCUCUGUGGGGAGGGACGAACCGCCGGUAGUUAACAUCUACCGGCAUGACGGUACCUCCUUAGCAAGCACCGGCUAACUUCGUGCCAGCAGCCGCGGUAAUACGAAGGGUGCAAACGUUGCUCGGAAUCAUUGGGCGUAAAGCGCACGUAGGCGGCUCUACAAGUCGGAUGUGAAAUCCCUCGGCUCAACCAAGGAAGUGCAUCCGAAACUGCAGAGCUUGAGUACAGAAGAGGAUCGCGGAAUUCCCGGUGUAGAGGUGAAAUUCGUAGAUAUCGGGAGGAACACCAGUGGCGAAGGCGGCGAUCUGGGCUGAUACUGACGCUGAGGUGCGAAAGCGUGGGGAGCAAACAGGAUUAGAUACCCCAGUAGUCC